rnacentral:rRNA from 1 species
GAUGAACGCUGGCGGCGUGCCUAAUACAUGCAAGUCGAGCGAACGGACGAGAAGCUUUCUUCUCUGAUGUUAGCGGCGGACGGGUGAGUAACACGUGGAUAACCUACCUAUAAGACUGGGAUAACUUCGGGAAACCGUAGCUAAUACCGGAUAAUAUUUUGAACCGCAUGGUUCAAAAGUUAAAGACGGUCUUGCUGUCACUUAUAGCUGGAUCCGCGCUGCAUUAGCUAGUUGGUAAGGUAACGGCUUACCAAGGCAACGAUGCAUAGCCGACCUGAGAGGGUGAUCGGCCACACUGGAACUGAGACACGGUCCAGACUCCUACGGGAGGCAGCAGUGGGGAAUCUUCCGCAAUGGGCGAAAGCCUGACGGAGCAACGCCGCGUGAGUGAUGAAGGUCUUCGGAUCGUAAAACUCUGUUAUUAGGGAAGAACAUAUGUGUAAGUAACUGUGCACAUCUUGACGGUACCUAAUCAGAAAGCCACGGCUAACUACGUG